rnacentral:rRNA from 1 species
AUGUGCAGCCAUACCACCCUGAUCACGCCCAAACUCGGAAGCUAAGCAGGUUAGUACUUGGAUGGGAGACUGCCUGGUGCUGUAAAAA